CUGAAACCUCAAAGGAAUUGACGGGGGCCCGCACAACGGUGGAGCAUGUGGUUUAAUUCGAAGCAACGCGAAGAACCUUACCAGGUCUUGACAUCCCGCUGAUCGGCGUAGAGAUACGCUUUUCCCUUCGGGGACAGCGGUGACAGGUGGUGCAUGGUUGUCGUCAGCUCGUGUCGUGAGAUGUUGGGUUAAGUCCCGCAACGAGCGCAACCCUUGAUCUUAGUUGCCAGCAUUCAGUUGGGCACUCUAAGGUGACUGCCGGUGACAAACCGGAGGAAGGUGGGGAUGACGUCAAAUCAUCAUGCCCCUUAUGACCUGGGCUACACACGUGCUACAAUGGACGGUACAAAGGGCUGCCAACCCGCGAGGGGGAGCCAAUCCCAGAAAACCGUUCUCAGUUCGGAUUGCAGGCUGCAACUCGCCUGCAUGAAGCCGGAAUCGCUAGUAAUCGUGGAUCAGCAUGCCACGGUGAAUACGUUCCCGGGCCUUGUGCACACCGCCCGUCACACCACGAGAGUUUGUAACACCCGAAGUCGGUGAGGUAACCCCUUGUGGGAGCCAGCCGCCGAAGGUGGGACACGAUGAUUGGGGUGAAGUCGUAACAAGGUAGCCGUAUCGGAAGGUGCGGCUGGAUCACCUCC
rnacentral:rRNA from 1 species